AAGGAAUAUUGGGCAAUGGAGGCAACUCUGACCCAGCCAUCCCGCGUGAAGGAUUAAGGCCCUAUGGGUUGUAAACUUCUUUUGUUUGGGAAGAAAUCAGGACAUUCAUGUGCUGUUGACGGUACCUUACGAAUAAGCACCGGCUAACUCCGUGCCAGCAGCCGCGGUAAUACGGAGGGUGCAAGCGUUAUCCGGAAUCACUGGGUUUAAAGGGUGCGUAGGCGGUUUGAUAAGUCAGAGGUGAAAGCUAGCAGCUUAACUGUUAAAUUGCCUUUGAUACUGUCAGACUUGAAUCAAGUUGAGGUAGGCGGAAUGUGACAUGUAGCGGUGAAGUGCAUAGAUAUGUCAUAGAACACCAAUUGCGUAGGCAGCUUGCUGGGCUUGAAUUGACGCUGAGGCACGAAAGCGUGGGGACCAAAC
rnacentral:rRNA from 1 species